UACAGAGGUGGCUAGCGUUGUUCGGAUUUAUUGGGCGUAAAGGGUCCGUAGGCGGUUCGAAAAGUCGGAUGUGAAAUCCCACAGCUUAACUGUGGAACUGCAUUCGAAACUUUCGAACUCGAGUAUGAGAGGGGUAAAGGGAAUUCCCGGUGUAAGGGUGAAAUCUGCAGAGAUCGGGAGGAACACCAGUCGCGAAGGCGCUUUACUGGCUCAUUACUGACGCUCAGGGACGAAAGCUAGGGGAGCAAACGGG
rnacentral:rRNA from 1 species